GACGAACGCUGGCGGCGCGCCUAACACAUGCAAGUCGAACGAGCGAGCGAGAGCUUGCUUUCUCAAGCGAGUGGCGAACGGGUGAGUAACGCGUGAGGAACCUGCCUCAAAGAGGGGGACAACAGUUGGAAACGACUCCUAAUACCGCAUAAGCCCACAGGUCGGCAUCGACCAGAGGGAAAAGGAGCAAUCCGCUUUGAGAUGGCCUCGCGUCCGAUUAGCUAGUUGGUGAGGUAACGGCCCACCAAGGCAACGAUCGGUAGCCGGACUGAGAGGUUGAACGGCCACAUUGGGACUGAGACACGGCCCAGACUCCUACGGGAGGCAGCAGUGGGGAAUAUUGCACAAUGGGGGAAACCCUGAUGCAGCGACGCCGCGUGGAGGAAGAAGGUCUUCGGAUUGUAAACUCCUGUUGUUGAGGAAGAUAAUGACGGUACUCAACAAGGAAGUGACGGCUAACUACGUG
rnacentral:rRNA from 1 species